rnacentral:lncRNA from 1 species
GUGACUUAAAGCAUCAUUUACUAUCUCCUGGUUUCCGUGGGUCAGCGAUCCCAGGGCAGCUCGCUGGGUCCUCUGGCUUCGUCUCAGAGGCUGCCAUCAAGGCAUGGGCCAGGGCUGCAGUCCCCUCAAGCCCAGACUGGGAGGACCGGCUUCCUGGCCUGCUCAUGUGGUCGUUGACAGGAUUCAGUCCCUCCGGGCUGGGACUGAGGCCUCGGCUGCUCAGGAGCCGUGAGUCAGAGGCUGCCCUCAGUUCCCUGUCCAGGAGGUCUCUCCAUGGCGCAUCUCACAGCACGGAGGCUUGCUUCAUCAGAGAGAGCCAGAGGGCAAGGGGGAGAGCAAGCAGGGAAGGCACUGUCUUUUGUGACCUAAUCAGAAGCGGCGUUCCAACACUUUGGCUGUAUUCUAUUUCUCGGAAGUGAGUCAUUAGGUCCAGCCCACACUCAAGAGUUGGGAACCACACAAGGCUGUGGCUACAGGAGUCAUGGCUGUCACACACCUUCACCCACCCUCCCAAGGGCAAGCUCCAGGACAGCAGGAACCUCACCUGCCUUGUCCUCCUCCCCACCCCGGUGCCUGACACAUGGCGGAUGUUCAGUAUAUGUUUUUAGAUGGAUGAACGAGGAAAGAGGGAAGUGAGGGAGACAUCGAGAGAAGACCUGGAGAGAAAAAGAGACGCAAGAACUUGGGCGGCUGGUUCUUCCAGGCUGGGACGCCCAGAUUCCCAUCUGAGCCCCAGCCUGCCCCUCCAGUGAUGACGGCGGCGUUUUCACCAAUCCUCAGUGAAAUGAGAAAAAUAAAGAACAAUGUAGUGGCUUUUCCAGAGUCAAAAUGUACCCAAAUUUUUUCAAAAUUUUGGGAUUUUCUUUCAUCCAGUUGAAGGGUUAAAAAUGUGCCUUUGUGAAAUAAGGACAUCUUUCUCCAUCUCCUUUCUUGGAAAUAUGAAAGGCUGCCAACUUUUGAUCUCUUCCCUCUAAUGUUUUUUGGCAUUUUUAGCUAAGAAAUGUACCAGUGUGAAACCCCAAAGUCUUAGAACCUGUGCUUUGGACCAGGGCCCUUUGGCCUCCAGGGCGAGGCCAUCCUGGGGUCAGACCUCCACAUCUGAGUUUUCUGGGCUGCUUCCUUGUUUAUUAAAUGGUGAAACUGAUUAACCUAUGUAUUAAUGCAGCAACUCAAAAAU